AUUUAUAUAGUUUAAUAAAACAUUACAUUUUCAUUGUAAAAUUAAAUUAAUUUAUUUUAUAAAUA
rnacentral:tRNA from 1 species